rnacentral:rRNA from 1 species
GAUGAACGCUGGCGGCGUGCCUAAUACAUGCAAGUCGAGCGAAUGGAUUAAGAGCUUGCUCUUAUGAAGUUAGCGGCGGACGGGUGAGUAACACGUGGGUAACCUGCCCAUAAGACUGGGAUAACUCCGGGAAACCGGGGCUAAUACCGGAUAACAUUUUGAACCGCAUGGUUCGAAAUUGAAAGGCGGCUUCGGCUGUCACUUAUGGAUGGACCCGCGUCGCAUUAGCUGGUUGGGGAGGUAACGGCUCACCAAGGCAACGAGGGGUAGCCGACCUGAGAGGGUGAUCGGCCACACUGGGACUGAGACACGGCCCAGACUCCUACGGGAGGCAGCAGUAGGGAAUCUUCCGCAAUGGACGAAAGUCUGACGGAGCAACGCCGCGUGAGUGAUGAAGGCUUUCGGGUCGUAAAACUCUGUUGUUAGGGAAGAACAAGUGCUAGUUGAAUAAGCUGGCACCUUGACGGUACCUAACCAGAAAGCCACGGCUAACUACGUGCCAGCCGCCGCGGUAA